rnacentral:lncRNA from 1 species
GAAACGAACAUUUCGAUAGCUGGCGUGCCAGAGUGUGUAUGGCAGUCGCACAAGGUUAAUAAGUUUUCGGUAAAAUUGGUGAAACCUUUUCUCCUUGAAGACAUGCCCCGAAAGUUUGAUUGAGAAGUUCAAUCAGGGACACUGAUUCCUGGGGGUCUGGAGCGAAUAUUUUGGGGUUUAAGGAUUUUCGUAAUCGGAGGUGUUCCUACGUGAGCCUAGUUGACUGUCUAGCUACUUAUUUAGACGUAAAUUUGCUGGAAUGGCGCACCAAUUUGACUAGAGAGCGCUUUACGAAGCUGCCCUCCUCAGAGUUUUUAGUUGAUGGCCACAAUUGUCCGACUAACUCCAGAACCAUCGUAACCACCACUGCCAGAACCAUCAGAGCACAUGAGCUUAGUUAGAGCGAAAUCCAGAGCCACAAAAAUUGCUACUGAGGUUCAUCAGAAGGACGUUAAUAAGUUUUAAUUAGUCGACGGUUGAAAGCACCAAAUAAGGUUACCAGUAAAAGGUUUUUUCCUUCCAUGCAAAUAAAAUACACGUUUAACUUUGUUUUACUUCAGCAUCCUGCAACCUGAACAUUAAUUUUGGGUUUGGGAAAAAGACCGAAUCUUUUUAAUCCUUUUGGCGUUCAGGGUAAUGGAUAUUGCAAAUCCAAGUUGUUUUUGAUGUUUCUUCUGUUAAAUUGUCAUUUGUAUUUGCUUCAUUUAUUGUUUAUAUUGUUGUGACUAUUUUCUACCGUUCUGUAUUUGAUAGAAUGCCAGUAUUUUUGAUCGCAGCUUUCAAGUAGUUUUAAAAGCUGCACCAGAUAAGGACGAGAAACAGCCAACCGAACAAACAAACAACCAAACAAUUGAUCCUGAUGGCGGUAUUAUGAAGACCAUAUUUAUCCAAGUGCUGAAAUAUGCAAGAAUAAACUGCAAA